GUAGAGCCUGACCUUGCCCGGAAGCGCGCUUCGUUCCGGUCGAAGAGAUCGUGGGUUCAAAUCCCGCAUCUCCG
rnacentral:tRNA from 1 species